rnacentral:tRNA from 1 species
GGUACCUUGGUAUAGUUGGUUAAUGCGUCGGCGUACAUUGUCGGAGUCGCUGGUUCAAGACCAGCCGGUACCC